rnacentral:tRNA from 1 species
UCUUCCGUAGUAUAGUGGUCAGUAUGUGAGCUUGUCAAUGAACAUUCGCUCGAGACCCGGGUUCAAUUCCCGGCGGGAGAG